AUGUGUGUUGAGAUGGGAUGGAUCCUUGCCUGUGGCUUCUUGCUUCUCAAGAGGUUCUGGGCAUUGAAGACAUUUUGCCUCCAAACCUCAAGGAAAAUCAGCGUGCCUGCAACCAGGAGAAAGGAGAUUCCAGCUCCUCUUUUAGUGCCUUCUCUCCUCUCCCUGUCUCCUGUGCCAGUGAUUAAGAAGAUGCUGAUGCUGCUGUGGGCUUUGGCACCUGGAGGCCAGGCUCAGAGCAUCCUGAUUGUGUGCAGGGAGCAUCAGGGUGGUGACUGAGCCCCAGUGGUCACUAAAAAAAUUUCCUGUUGUUCCAUAUUCCCAUUUAAAAUCCCUGCUAAACCCCCGGCCUUACAGCAAAAACCAUAUAGUAAAUGUGAGGAUUAAAUCAUGCUUUAAUGCUUGCUGGGAUGGGGUGUUUGAACUGCCUUGGUGCUUCAAGUUAUAUAAUGUAAAAAACAAACAAAAAAAAAAGUUGUUACUGAUCUAUUAAAGUAUUUCUCUCCCAAUUUCUCAUUUAAA
rnacentral:lncRNA from 1 species